rnacentral:rRNA from 1 species
CCAAACCAUACUUCCAAGAAAAUUCUCUAAGCAUCAGGUAUAUGGGGCCCGUACCCCAAACCGACACAGGUAGUCGGGGAGAGAAUCCUAAGGUGCUCGAGUGAUCCGUGGCUAAGGAACUAGGCAAAUUAGACCUGUAACUUUGGGAAAAAGGUCUCCCCCGAUUACUCGGGGGACGCAGAUAAAUGGCCCAGGCGACUGUUUAGCAAAAACACAUGGCUUUGCGAAAUCGUAAGAUACUGUAUAAGGCCUGACACCUGCCCGGUGCCGGAAGGUUAAGAGGGGGGGUUAUUCUGCUGCGAGGCAGGAGAAGCUCUGAAUUGAAGCCCCGGUAAACGGCGGCCGUAACAAUAACGGUCCUAAGGUAGCGAAAUUCCUUGUCGGGUAAGUUCCGACCUGCACGAAUGGUGUAACGAUCUGGGCACUGUCUCAGCCACGAGCUCGGUGAAAUUGUAGCCCCGGUGAAGAUGCCGGGUACCCGCAACGGGACGGAAAGACCCCGUGAACCUUUACUAUAGCUUAACAUUGAUUUUGGGUAAGUGAUGUGUAGGAUAGGUCGGAGACAAUGAAGCGGUUUCGUCAGGGAUCGUGGAGUCACCCUUGAAAUACGACCCUUCAUUUGCCUGGAAUCUAAUCCCGAGCACUCGGGAGACAUUGUUUGGUGGGUAGUUUGACCGGGGUGGUCGCCUCCCAAAGAGUAACGGAGGCUUCUCAAGGUGCCCUCAGCACGAUUGGUAACCGUGCGUAGAGUGUAAUGGCAUAAGGGCGCUUGACUGUGAGACAUACAAGUCGAGCAGGUAGGAAACUAGAGCAUAGUGAUCCGGUGGUUCCGUAUGGAAGGGCCAUCGCUCAAAGGAUAAAAGGUACUCCGGGGAUAACAGGCUGAUCGCCGCCAAGAGCUCAUAUCGACGCGGCGGUUUGGCACCUCGAUGUCGGCUCGUCACAUCCUGGGGCUGGAGAAGGUCCCAAGGGUUCGGCUGUUCGCCGAUUAAAGUGGCACGCGAGCUGGGUUCAGAACGUCGUGAGACAGUUCGGUCCCUAUCUGUUGUGGGCGUAGGAGAUUUGAGAGAACCUGACACUAGUACGAGAGGACCGUGUUGGACAGACCUCUGGUGUACCUGUUGUGGCGCCAGCUGCAUUGCAGGGUAUCUAUGUCUGGACGAGAUAAGCACUGAAAGCAUCUAAGUGCGAAGCUCAUCUCAAGAUGAGAUCUCCUUUGAGGGUCGUUGAAGACUACGACGUUGAUAGGCUGCAGGUGUAAAGGCGGUGACGUCAAAGCUGAGCAGUACUAAUUACCC